UACGUAGGGGGCGAGCGUUAAUCGGAAUUACUGGGCGUAAAGGGUGCGCAGGCGGCUUGCUAAGACAGGUGUGAAAGCCCCGAGCUUAACUUGGGAAUGGCGCUUGUGACUGGCAGGCUGGAGUGUGGCAGAGGGAGGUGGAAUUCCACGUGUAGCAGUGAAAUGCGUAGAUAUCGAGAGGAACACCAGUGGCGAAGGCGAGUCUCUGGACAUUUCCUGACGCUGAGGCACGAAAGCCAGGGGAGCAAACGGG
rnacentral:rRNA from 1 species